rnacentral:siRNA from 1 species
AGAUUUAAGAAAACUUUCUACUGA